AAAAAGAAAAAUCCUGGUUUCCGUGCCCAACGUUUGACCGUCCGUCUUAUUUGAAAAAAUUAUAAAAAAAAUUAAAAAGACAAGUCACGCAUAAAAUAUUAAUCAUAUUUUAUCGUCUAACAAUAAUAAAAAUACGAAUUAUAAAAAAAUUUCAUAUAAGAUGGACAAUCAAAAUUGGACACGGAAAUAUAUGGUUUGCCUUUUU
rfam:Oryza glumipatula chromosome 10, whole genome shotgun sequence.